GCAAGUCGAGCGCGCCCUUCGGGGUGAGCGGCGGACGGGUUAGUAACGCGUGGGAACGUACCCAGAUCUACGGAAUAGCCUCGGGAAACUGAGAGUAAUACCGUAUACGCCCUUCGGGGGAAAGAUUUAUCGGAUUUGGAUCGGCCCGCGUAAGAUUAGAUAGUUGGUGGGGUAAUGGCCUACCAAGUCUACGAUCUUUAGCUGGUUUGAGAGGAUGAUC
rnacentral:rRNA from 1 species